GUGCUUGCUUUGGCAGCACAUAAUACUAAAAUUGGAAUGAUACAGAGAAGAUUAGCAUGGACCCCUGUGCAAGGAACGCACAGUUAUGAAGCGUUCCAUAUUAAA